rnacentral:rRNA from 1 species
GACGAACGCUGGCGGCGUGCUUAACACAUGCAAGUCGAACGGAGUGGCGAACGGGUGAGUAACACGUGGGUGAUCUGCCUUGCACUUCGGGAUAAGCUUGGGAAACUGGGUCUAAUACCGGAUAGUGCAAGAUGAGCUCGCGGCCUAUCAGCUUGUUGGUGGGGUAAUGGCCGUCCAAGGCGUCGACGGGUAGCCGGCCUGAGAGGGUGUACGGGGCCAUGGGUCCUGAGGUACGGCCCAGACGCCUACGGGGGGCAGCGGGGGGGAAUAUUGCACAAUGGGCGGAAGCCUGAGGCAGCGACGCCGCGUGGGGGAUGAACGCCUUCGGGUUGUAAACUCCUUUCGACAGGGACGCGGUACCUGUAUAAGAAGCACCGGCUAACUACGUGCCAGCAGCCGCGGUAAUUC